rnacentral:lncRNA from 1 species
AAGGAUGCGUUGCAGUUACAUCGACGAUCGAGUGAGCAGCAGAUGUAUACGAUCGAGUGGCAGAUCGAGCAGAAGGGAAGCGAAGCAGAACUACCUGUCACUCGAUGCACUCACUCGAGUGACAUGAUCGAGCAAAGCAAAGAAGUAGCUGAUGGUUUUACAGGUCACUCAACACACUCACUCGAGUGACACGAUCGAGCAAAGCAGAGAAGAUGCUCACUCGACCAACUUAGUCAAAACAACCUUUGAACCGCUUUUACGUUGUCGUUUUAUGUUUUAAGGUUUUCCCAAACAUUGUUAUAAAUAGGCUUCAUUUGGAUUGCCC